rnacentral:rRNA from 1 species
AACGAACGCUGGCGGCAGGCCUAAAACAUGCAAGUCGAACGGGUGUAGCAAUACAUCAGUGGCGCACGGGUGAGUAACGCGUGGGAACGUGCCCUUCAGUACGGGACAACGUCGGGAAACUGACGCUAAUACCGUAUAAUAUCUCCGGAUCAAAGAUUUAUCGCUGAAGGAUCGGCCCGCGUCUGAUUAGUUUGUUGGUGAGGUAACGGCUCACCAAGACUACGAUCAGUAGCUGGUCUGAGAGGAUGAUCAGCCACACUGGGACUGAGACACGGCCCAGACUCCUACGGGAGGCAGCAGUUAGGAAUAUUGGGCAAUGGGGGAAACCCUGAUCCAGCCAUGCCGCGUGUGUGAUGAAGGCC